CAAUGUAAAGAACGUCGUCAUAAGCUCAGUUUAUAAGUUAUUGUUGAUCACAAAAUGGAAUGAAUGUUUUGUUAUCAUUUAAUCGUUAACUCAUUUCGUGCCAAAGUUAUCUAUUCAUCCUUUAUGGUCAGUGGUCUCUAAUAAGUUAUGAGUACACACUUCCUGUAAUGAUGGCUUUAAUGUUCUCAAACUAACAAUAUAUUUUGUCUUGCAUAAAUUUACAGAAUAUAAUACAUAUUCCUAUAGUUAUUUAUAGGGAAGUUAUAUAUUAAUAAUAUAAA
rnacentral:lncRNA from 1 species